rnacentral:rRNA from 1 species
CCCUUAGAGUUUGAUCCUGGCUCAGGACGAACGCUGGCGGCGUGCUUAACACAUGCAAGUCGAACGGGGUGUUUAUUUCGGUAAACACCAAGUGGCGAACGGGUGAGUAACGCGUAAGCAAUCUACCUUCAAGAUGGGGACAACACUUCGAAAGGGGUGCUAAUACCGAAUGAAUGUAAGAGUAUCGCAUGAGACACUUACUAAAGGAGGCCUCUGACAUAAGCUUCCGCUUGAAGAUGAGCUUGCGUCUGAUUAGCUAGUUGGUGAGGGUAAAGGCCCACCAAGGCGACGAUCAGUAGCCGGUCUGAGAGGAUGAACGGCCACAUUGGGACUGAGACACGGCCCAGACUCCUACGGGAGGCAGCAGUGGGGAAUCUUCCGCAAUGGGCGAAAGCCUGACGGAGCAACGCCGCGUGAACGAAGAAGGUCUUAGGAUCGUAAAGUUCUGUUGUUAGGGACGAAGGGUAAGAAUCAUAAUAAGGUUUUUAUUUGACGGUACCUAACGAGGAAGCCACGGCUAACUACGUGCCAGCAGCCGCGGUAAUACGUAGGCGGCAAGCGUUGUCCGGAAUUAUUGGGCGUAAAGGGAGCGCAGGCGGGAAACUAAGCGGAUCUUAAAAGUGCGGGGCUCAACCCCGUGAUGGGGUCCGAACUGGUUUUCUUGAGUGCAGGAGAGGAAAGCGGAAUUCCCAGUGUAGCGGUGAAAUGCGUAGAUAUUGGGAAGAACACCAGUGGCGAAGGCGGCUUUCUGGACUGUAACUGACGCUGAGGCUCGAAAGCUAGGGUAGCGAACGGGAUUAGAUACCCCGGUAGUCCUAGCCGUAAACGAUGGAUACUAGGUGUGGGAGGUAUCGACCCCUUCCGUGCCGGAGUUAACGCAAUAAGUAUCCCGCCUGGGGAGUACGGCCGCAAGGUU